UAUGUAAAAAAACAAAAAAAAAGUUACUAAUUGGAAAAAAUUAAAAUAGAAAAAAAAAAAGAAUAAGACCAAGCACCUGGCUCAUCAAGAAAUGGCAUGUGCACAGGCCUUUUAUUGUUUUUUAGGUUAAUGGAGGGACCUUUUAUUUUUUUUAAGUUAAAGGAGAGACCAACAUGUCAUCUGCCUCAAUUUCUUUAAAAAAUAUAGACGACAUGUCAUCAGGAUUCCUAGAUCCCAGCCAUUGUGAUGGUCGGAAAAAUAGGGUUCAAUUGUUUUCACCCAAAAACUAAUUUUCAACCCAUUUUUUACCAAAAAACACUUAGAAAACACCAUAAAAACCUUGUUAAACCAAUCUAUGGCCUCAAAAAACAUAAAAAAAAGGGCUCGAAACCCAAAAUCAACCUAAAACAAAAAAUCUUCUUGAGCUAUGAUCUAUUUUUUAGGCACUUUCAAGGUAAAAAAAAAAACAAAAACUCAUAGUUCGAACUCCUCUUAUUAUGUGGAACCAUUUGGCAUAAACAUUUACCGUUUUAGUGGCCAAAAUCAUCGCCAACAAUAAUUCUCUCUCUACACUGAAAUCUGGUGAGUAGCUCUCUCCUACAACCCAGAAUUGAAUUUUUUAACAUUAAAGGGAUUGGUCACCUUAGAGCCAAAAAAGAUGGUGGACAAAAAUGAACUUUUAAGACAAAUUUCAAAGCCGCCUAUUUUACCUGCUUUUUUCACUUCAAUCCUCUAUCUUUCAAUUCAACUCUCUCCCAAAAAAAGAACCAAUUGAAUGCUAAUUUGGGCUCAAAAUGGCUAAAUUGUGUGAAAUAAGAACCAAAUUGAAAAUGUAAAAAGAAAAAUCAUUACUCCAAUCCAUAGUGAUCAGUAAAAUAAUGAAUAGUAUUUGUGCUAUAGUAAAAAAAGAAGCUCUUCUAGUAUAUAAUUAAUAUAUUAGUUUACCUUUGGAUUGAGUUUGUUAAUGACUUUAUGACAAUGAAUUGCAUCCAUUACUUAUUCUUGUUCCUCCUUCUUCCCCCAUCUCUUAGAGCAAUUGAUCGCAACAACAUGCAAUGUCAACUCUUAUAAAAAGGUUUUUUUAAGCAAUUUUUUUUAUAUUUAAUUUUUUUCAUGUUCACUUAUUUCUAGUUUUUAUUUAACUUCUAAUGUUUUAUUUAUGGAUUCUUGUUCGAAGAAGCUAAAUUUGAAAUUGAGUAGUUUUUUCUUAUAAAAAAUAUUGAUGAAUGGUUUGGUUUUUGUAUUUAGUCACUUAGAUCAAAAGCAGGUUUUGAAAUCUUGCAGAAAGACUUUUCCUAUAGUAUCAUUUGUGUGGUAGCAAUGAGCACUAUCCAAGAGGACUUCAUUUCAAAUGAUGAGAUGACACUAACAUUAGAGGACCUAACAGAAAGAAUGUUGCAUGCCAAUUUAUGUUGUGAUGAACAGGUAUGUACUCUAGUUGAAUGAUGCCUUUGCAUGAAACUCACAUUUAAAGUAGAAAAUGGUCUUUUGUUGAAUUGUGAUGUUUUGAUUUGAUGGCAAAAUGAUUUCAGUGCGAGUAUUUUGGAGAUCAAAGUCCUAUAGUGCUCACACUUGGAGUGCUUUAACAUAGAAGUUAGGAAGAUAUCAAUGAUCUUAUACGGUUUCCUCCACUGGUUCAGCAUUGCAUAUAUUAGCAAAAGAUAAUGAUUCUGGGAUUUGGUUUAUUAUAUCUCUUCCUCAAGGCACGUCCUUGUUUGCUUGGGUAUGAAUAGUUGUUUCUAGUUACUUAAGAGUGAGUCUUUUGUACAUGGAGUGGAAGUUUGGGAUUUGUAGAUGAGGUCCUGUUUUUGUAUGUAAAGGCCUGUUGAGGUAUUUCAUCAGAUUCUCAGCAGCAUAGUUGUGAUUGAUUUGCAAAAGAGGUUUGUAUUGUGAAUCACUGGAUGUUUUGUUGUUAGGUAUGUGCUCGCUGUGGAAAAUAUUGCUAACUCAGCAGUGCUUGAGUUUUUUAGUUAUUAAGUAUCUUGCUUAGUUGCAUUAGAUUUUUCUACUAGGCUUCUUUAAUGACUUUCCUAGUGGUACUAGCAUAGCAAGGUGAAAAACAAUUCAAGAAUCAAAAUAUUGAAUUCAAGCAUCUUGACGUAAGAACUUAAUUUUAACAUGGAUUCGACAAAAAAAAUAAACCAAAGGCAAAUCACGCACUAAGAACACGUCAAAUAAAAUCACAACAUGCAUAUAAUUUUAAAAUUAGGUUUCAAAACUAAAAGCAAUAAACAUGCACACAAUUUUGAAUUCAACAAUCACAUAAAAAAAUCCCAACACGGCAUGU